rnacentral:rRNA from 1 species
GCUGGCGGCGUGCCUAACACAUGCAAGUCGAACGAGAACGGUUCCUUCGGGAGCUUAGUAAAGUGGCGAACGGGUGAGUAACGCGUGGAUAAUCUGCCCUCAAGUGGG